UGGUUCUGGCAUCGAUGAAGAACGCAGCGAAAUGCGAUAAGUAAUGUGAAUUGCAGAAUUCAGUGAAUCAUCGAAUCUUUGAACGCACAUUGCGCCCUUCGGUAUUCCGGGGGGCAUGCCUGUUCGAGCGUCAUUGCACCUCUCAAGCAUCAGCUUGGUCUUGGGCGCUCGUCCCGCGAGGGACGUGCCCGAAAACGAGUGGCGGUCCGGUCGAGACUUCGGGCGUAGUAAACUACUUUUUCGCUCUGGAAGACUUCUCGGCCGGCCGGCCAGGUCCUCGGACCGCAACGACCAUAUCCAUAAAUUGACCUCGGAUCAGGUAGGGAUACCCGCUGA
rnacentral:misc_RNA from 1 species